rnacentral:sRNA from 1 species
CCACUCCCAGGGCAUCAUCUACCGGGACCUCAAGCCCGAGAACAUCAUGCUCAGCAGCCAGGGCCACAUCAAACUGACCGACUUUGGACUCUGCAAGGAGUCGAUACAUGAGGGCGCCGUCACCCACACCUUCUGCGGCACCAUUGAGUACAUGGCCCCUGAGAUUCUGGUGCGCAGUGGCCACAACCGGGCUGUGGACUGGUGGAGCCUGGGGGCCCUGAUGUACGACAUGCUCACUGGAUCGGCAAGUCCAGCCCCCGGGAGGAGGAGGAGCAGGGGCAGAGGUGGGAGUAGCCCCCCUCCUGGGGCAAGGGCAGGGCCUGAUGGGAGGCCCACAAGGCUCCUCUCACCUUCCUCCUCCUCCAGCCUCCCUUCACUGCAGAGAACCGGAAGAAAACCAUGGAUAAGAUCCUAAAGGGCAAGCUGGCGCUGCCCGCCUACCUCACCCCAGAUGCCCGGGACCUUGUCAAAAAGUUUCUGAAACGUAAUCCCAGCCAGCGGAUUGGGGGUGGCCCAGGGGAUGCUGCUGAUGUGCAGAGACAUCCCUUUUUCCGGCACAUGAAUUGGGACGACCUUCUGGCCUGGCGUGUGGACCCCCCUUUCAGGCCCUGUCUGCAGUCAGAGGAGGACGUGAGCCAGUUUGAUACCCGCUUCACACGGCAGACGCCAGUGGACAGUCCCGAUGACACGGCCCUCAGCGAGAGUGCCAACCAGGCCUUCCUGGGCUUCACAUACGUGGCGCCAUCUGUCCUGGACAGCAAGGAAGGCUUCUCCUUCCAGCCC